CUUUUAUUCAGACCUUGUGCCUGCAUGUUCCUCUGGCAAUGACGAAGACAAAGAAGACAUAUUCCUUGCUGCUAUACGCGAGCUCAGUGUACCCAAGAGACGGAUAGGUUGACCAAAGAUGGAUGGGUUUACUAUAAAUAAAUAGAGGGCAGUUGCAGCAGACUGUGCCAACCAAGAGUUUGUGAACUAUCUCGAGCAAGAUUAAUACUAUUAUUAUUAUUAUUAUUAUUAUUAUUAUGGUGGCUGAAGAACCUGGCAGCCAUGGCUAUACUGCCUAUACAGAGGAUGGAACUGUGGAUCUCAAAGGCAACCCUGUCCUUAGGUCCAAGAGAGGCCGAUGGAGGGCUUGCUUCUUUGUUGUUGUGUGCGACGCGUUUGAGGCGAUGGCGUACCAAUGCAUAUCAUCUAACAUGAUAAAUUACCUGACGAAGAAGCUGGCCGUCGGCACCGGCGGGACGAAGCCCAACACCUCGACCAUCGGAGCAGACCAGUUCGACGAGACCGAUCCCAAGGAGAAGGCUCAAAAGGCUUCCUUCUUUAACUGGUGGACGUUCAUCGUCUCCACCGGCACGGUCUUCGCCAACACAGUUCUUGUGUACGUACAGGAUAAUGUGGGGUGGACUUUGGGAUAUGGGAUUCCCACCGCCGGCCUUUCCUUGUCGAUUUUGAUCCUCCUGGCCGGCAAGCGCUUCUACCGGCACCGGGAGCCCACCGAAAGUCCCUUCACGAGGAUGACGAAAGUCAUUGUUGCUGCCGCGAGGAAGUGGAAAGUGCCGGUUCCCGGCGAUCCCAGAGAACCCCUCGAACUUGACUUGGAAGAUUAGGCCAAGAAAGGAAAGUUUGAUUCCCGGCACCCCUCGAGAUAAGGCUGGAGUCAUUGUCAAUCCGAAGGGUGGUGAAAUGAAAGGCUCUGCUAACACCGGUCCCAUUGGCAAGGAGUGUGCCGAUCUGUGGCCAAGGAUUGCUAGUGCAGCCAAUGCUAUAGUCUAGCUAGUCCAAGUUCUCACUUGGUGUUGUUGAAGUUCUCUAUAUUAAGAAUUUAGACUUGUUUUCUUGAAUUUGUUUAGGCGUUUGAUUUACUAAUGACGUUGAAAAUUCUGUUCCCCAAUCAGAAAAUGACAUCCCAAUGACUGCGCAGUUAACACUUUGUGUCCUCCGUUUUGAUUUUGAAAUGUUUGAAAUUGGGUUUUAAACAUCAAGUCAUCUGUUGAAGAUGGGUCAUAUUCCUUUUCUAUUAAUGAUUUACAUUUGGGAUAUCAGGUUGGUAUGGGCA